rnacentral:rRNA from 1 species
UACAGAGGUCUCAAGCGUUGUUCGGAUUCAUUGGGCGUAAAGGGUGCGUAGGCGGCGCGGUAAGUCGGGUGUGAAAUCUCCACGCUCAACGUGGAGGGGUCAUUCGAUACUGCCGUGACUUGAGUACGGUAGGGGAGUGUGGAAUUCCCGGUGUAGCGGUGAAAUGCGCAGAGAUCGGGAGGAACACCCGUAGCGAAGGCGGCACUCUGGGCCGAUACUGACGCUGAGGAGCGAAAGCGUGGGGAGCGAACAGG